GAUGAAGAACGCAGUGAAAUGCGAUACGUAAUGUGAAUUGCAAAUUCAGUGAAUCAUCGAGUCUUUGAACGCACAUUGCGCCCCCUGGUAUUCCGGGGGGCAUGCCUGUCCGAGCGUCAUUGCUGCCCUCAAGCACGGCUUGUGUGUUGGGCCCCGUCCUCCGAUCCCGGGGGACGGGCCCGAAAGGCAGCGGCGGCACCGCGUCCGGUCCUCGAGCGUAUGGGGCUUUGUCACCCGCUCUGUAGGCCCGGCCGGCGCUUGCCGAUCAACCCAAAUUUUUAUCCAGGUUGACCUCGGAUCAGGUAGGGAUACCCGCUGAACUUAAGCAUAUCAAUAAGCGGGGA
rnacentral:misc_RNA from 1 species